GGGGUUGUGGCUCAGUGAUAGAGUGCUUGCCUGGCAUGUGUGAGGCCCUGGGUUCGAUUCUGAGCACCACCU
rfam:Ictidomys tridecemlineatus contig104614, whole genome shotgun sequence.